AGAAAGACAAAGUUCGCCACAUGUUAGGAGUUUGAGGCUCUCACCAUAACGAGGCCCCUUGUCACACCCACUUAACCGAGUUCCACUCGAUCCUUGUGUCAAGACAGUAAGACAGUUCGCCUUUUCACUGUGCAUGGUUUUAGUUCUGUUCGUAGGGGGACUCCCAGCCCCGGACGACCUUCCCUCUGAGACUCCAACACCUCCUCCAUUUGGUCUCCGUCCCCGCGGGGAGCCCAGCCCACCGGGUGCGAUUAGGAAUGAAGCUGGACAGUGCAGAAGAGAAGGGGGUCGGCCGCUCCCUGCCUGCAGAAGGGUCUUCCCCGACCCUCGAACGAGCCUUCUCCAAGAUUCUGCAGGAUCUCAGCCGCCAGGAGUCAUCAGGACAAAGCAACGCAAGAAACGCCGCUCUUAAAGACCUCAGUGCUUUAAUAGAAGCCGCCGAAUGUGACCAAUUAUUUGAGGGGAGUGGGAGUGGUGGAUCCCUCCGGGGGAUGCCCGAGAUCCUGGGACAGGUGGUGAAAGCCCUGGAGAAGUUCGCAGCACCCAAGGAGAAGGCGGAUGGAGGCGAAGAGCAACCCGAAGUACCUGAGAAGGCAACUGAAGUUGGCUCACUAUUUCUAAAGCUGUUGGGCAAGGUUGAAACUUCGAAGAGUUCUCCCGACUGCCCUGCAUGGAAGACAGGCCUCCGACACUUGUCAGGACCCAUGUAUAUUUUUGCCAUCACACACAGAUUGAAGCAGCCAUGGACCAGUCCAAAAUCUCAGCAUGUUGCGGGCGAGGUGCUGUCUUUACUGUUUCGAGUUACUGAGUGUAGUUGUGUGGCAGGAUUCCUAUGCGGAGAAAAUGAAGAUGAUCGAGGGAGAUUUGCUGUGGUCUUGGGGCUCCUUAAGCCCCAUUUGAAUAAGGAAACCUGGAAGAAGAAUCCUGCUGUCAAACAUGUUUUCUCAUGGACUCUCCAAAAAGUCACUCAGCCCUGGCUGAGCCAGCAUCUAGAAAAGAUACUUCCUCCGUCUUUGCUCAUCUCAGACGACUAUCAAACUGAGAAUAAAAUCCUGGGUGUCCAGUGCCUCCACCACAUUGUGGUUAAUGUGCCAGCUGCUGAUUUGCUGCAGUACAACAGAGCCCAGGUUCUGUACCACGCCCUUUUCAAUCACCUGUACAUGCCAGAGCACAACCUCAUUCAGGCUGUGCUCCUGUGCCUCUUAGAUUUGUUCCCCGUCCUAGAGAAGGCUCUGCACUGGCAGGGAGAUUCAGCUCGAGCUACUACACACUGCCACGAGGUGCUACAACUGAUCCUCACCCACAUGGAGCCAGAGCAUCGCCUUCUCCUACGUAGGACGUAUGCCAGAAACCUGCCAGCUUUUGUGAAGAAGUUGGGGAUCCUGACUGUUCGGCACUUGAAGAGGCUGGAGCAAGUUAUCCUUGGUUAUCUGGAGGUUUAUGAUGAACCAGAAGAUGAAACUAGGUUGAAGAUACUGGAAACCCUGAAACUUGUCAUGCAGUAUACUUGGCCCAGGUUUGAGACCAGCCUUAUCUAUAUAGUUAGUUUCAGGCCAUCCAGGGCUACAUAGACCCUGUCUCAAGAAAAGAAAGAAAAGAGAAAAAGAGACAGAUGGACAAACACAUGGUGGGGGAGAAAGGAAGAAAAAUCACAAAAAUUUAUGGUUAUGUAAAUGGGGAAACAUUGCAGAUUUUCUAUUGCUGUGGUAAGAUAUUAUGAUGAAGGCAAUUUACAGAAGAAAGUUUGUUUUGAGCUUACAGAUUCAGAGGGUUCAAGUCUAUGAUAUGGGGCAGCUGAGAGCUCACAUCUUGAGACACAAUGAAGGAACAGAGAACUGGGAAUGGCAGUUAAAACCUCAACGUUCACUCCUGGUGUCACACCUCCUAAACUUUCCCACACUGUUCCACCAUCUGAGGAGCAGAAUUUCCUGCAGAGUUGUGGUCUUACUGAAGGCUCUCCUGAAACUGAUAUGUGAUGUAGCGAGGGAUAAGAUCCCCACAACUGAGGCAGCUAAGAGUGUGGUGCUCCAGGAA